rnacentral:rRNA from 1 species
AGUGAACGCUGGCGGUAGGCCUAACACAUGCAAGUCGAACGGCAGCACAGUAAGAGCUUGCUCUUACGGGUGGCGAGUGGCGGACGGGUGAGGGAUACAUCGGAAUCUACUUUUUCGUGGGGGAUAACGUAGGGAAACUUACGCUAAUAGCGCAUACGACCUACGGGUGAAAGCAGGGGAUCUUCGGAACUUGCGCGAUGGAAUGAGCCGAUGUCGGGUUAGCUAGUUGGCGGGGUAAAGGUCCGCCAAGGGGAUGAUCCGUGGACGGUCGGAGAGGGUGAUCAGCCACACUGGCUCUGAGGCACCGUCCCGAUCACUAAGGGAGGGCGCAGAUGGGAAUAUUGGCCCAUGGAGGCAAUCCUGAUCCAGCCAUACCGCGUGGGUGAAGAAGGACUUCGGGUUGUAAAGACCUUUUGUUGGGAAAGAAAAGCAGCAGGUUAAUACCCCGCUGUUCUGACGUUACCCAAAGAAUAAGCACCGGCUAACUUCGUG